rnacentral:lncRNA from 1 species
CCAAGGGGCAGAGCCUCUGGCUGGGGUCCGGGGGCAGCGCCCCUGGGAGCAGGGUCCAAGGGGCGGCAGCCCCUGGCGGGGUCCAAGGGGCAGAGCCCCUGGCUGGGGUCGAGCUAAAAUUUAUGAAAAUUUAUGAUAAAUUUUCAGACAAAAUUUCAAGGCAGUUUUUUAAAGCAAUUUACUAAAAUUCGAAAAUAACUGCCAGAGGCAGUUAUCUGCAAGAAACCCUAAAAUUCGUUUCUAAGUUUUGGUCACAAUUCUCUGGUUUAUCAAUUUCACUCAAAAACACAUACUCAGGUUCAAUUCUCGAAAUCAGAGUUGUAUCCGAUUAAAUUAUUCGGGUGAACCACCGAAAUAAUUUGAUCUGAGAGUGAUUACACGCCUCUCUGAUCGUCCGGAAAACCGAAAUUCCCCAACACUCUCAAUUGAAUUGUGGCUCAGGUGAGAUUGAGGAGGUUUCUUAGAGUAACUUCCCUCUUGCCAUUUGAUCCUCUCAUCGCUAUGAGUUGAUGAUUUUGAAUUUUUGACUGGUGGGGUUUGCUUUAUCUUUUCUAGUUGGUUGUGGUGCUAAUUGUUUUAAUAAAUAAAAUAUUAAAAAUUUAUAAAGGGUGAACAGUAACCCUCCAAAUUACUGAUGAACAGUAAUAUUCUCUCUCCUUCACAUAUAACCACUCUUAAAAAUAUAAAGGAUACACUCGCAUAAAUAUAGAGAUUCAAUUGUGAAUGUCCUUAUUGUUGUGAUGGUGGAGAUACACCGAUUGGUGGGGCAAGAUCUGGAUAGCAUAGUGAAGAAGAAUUUGAUAUUAUACAACUGUGUAUCUGCAGCGAUGGCGUAACUUGUUUCUUCUUUGUCCCCAUCCCCCAAUUACAGAUCUGAGCCUAAUUAUUUAUCUCUUUACAUUAAAUAUAUUCUCUCUUGUAAAUAUGAUCUUAUAUUUUUAUGGAGUUUUUUUGGAGAGCAAAGUGAUUAUAAUGUUUGAAGAAUGUCAUGAGUUAAUCGAUUACUAAGUUGAUUGUAAUUUCCAACAACAUAUCUUUACCCUCACUGCAUUGGUACUCAUUUUAGUUUAUUUUAGAUCAAGGAUGCAUCAUAUUGUAGAAUAGUGGUAUUAAAGAAUGGAGUAAAUAAGUUUUUGUUUUUCAAGUAGUUGAGGGUUCUAGUACUAUUUGAUCCAUGUUGUAUGUGUUCGCCGAGAAAAACAAGAUAGCUAGCCUAUGGAGGACCAAUAUGAAAUGGGUGUAUGACAUUUACGCCAGUCGCCACCAAAUAACAUGUAUCAUAUCCUAUUACUGAGUCAAACACUGGUAUUCUUUGAUUAUAAGGUCUUCCAUAGUCGUGCUGGAUAUGGCGCCCUUCCCACACAAAGCCUCAGGGCGUCUUGAAACACCAUUAUGGCCGGCGCUAUUGGGGCUUUAUAAUUCACCCCGUGAUAUGUAUAGCGCCUGACACAAUGGUUGCUCUCACACACACAUAUAUGUAUACAUACAUAUAUGUAUAUCUAUAACUGAAGGGGUUAUAUAAUCCUCUUUCGACUACACGCUUAAGUUAUAUAACCCCCUUCUCUUACACAUUUUGUCACUUGUCACGUAAUCCCAUUUAUGGGGCUUGACCGCUACAAAUGGCCUAAAGAUAGAGAUGCCAUCGCCUUUAUCAAACAUCCUAGUUUGUGUCAUAUCACUAAUUCCAUAAUGAGUUAAUGACAAAAGUAAAAUAAAUACAAAACGACUAAAAGGAUACAAAUACAGGGGCUAUCCCAACUACUUGACAUGUACAAAAUCUGCCAAAUAUCAUUUACGAAACACCCAAUCAUUAAUACAAACAAAAUAUGAAUUCACCCUAAUGUAUCAAUGUACAAGUUUAAGUAAUUACAGAAGUACAAACUUAUUGUAACUUUGUGCAUUGUUCUAUUAUGAUUAGCUAUAACCCGAUCUAGCCCUUUGAAACAUAUUUGAACAUAAUAAAGCGUAUCACGAGCCAUUAAGAGCUCAAUACAAUACAUUAAGACAUGUACGAUUUGUUAUUGCACGUUACUAUCUAAAUAUGACUUGCCACAUAAUGAAGUUUUAGACGUCCAAUCCGUCUCUCUCAAUCUCAAUCGAUUCCCAACAGGAUGAUGAACGACCAACCACCGUGAAUGGGCUGAGCACCACCGUUUAGCAUGUUGGUAAAUGUUGACCCAGUUUGGAAUGUGGAUGUGAGCAUUGGGGUUAACGUUGCUGCUUUGUAGUAGUUUUUUGGGUUUGUUUUUCCUCUAUUUAAAAAGUCAUAGAAUAGCUUCAUAAUCAUAAAUCGAAAUUUCAUUUUCACUUUGUAAGCUGUAAUGAAACAUUCAAGCAGCUGAUUAAACAUUCAACAUCAAUAAAAGCAUAUCCUUGUCAUUCACUGUCAGACCGUCGCUAAAGCGGGAACAUGGGAAUGCAACAAAUCAAAUAUCGUGAAUAUUCCAAACAUGCAUUCAUUCAAAAUAAGACAAACAUGAUGUGCGGUUUUUAAUACAAGUUGAAGAUUCUAAAAAUCACGCCAUGUUAUGUUUAUGCGAAAUGUAUGAGUGGGUGAAAUGCAAUCUACACGAGUGCACAACCAAGCCAAAUAGCGAGAAGCAAGGGCGGACCUAAGUGUUUGCGUGGGCGGGCGGGCGCAC